rnacentral:rRNA from 1 species
UAGGGGAUCUUCCACAAUGGGCGCAAGCCUGAUGGAGCAACACCGCGUGAGUGAAGAAGGGUUUCGGCUCGUAAAGCUCUGUUGUUGGAGAAGAACGUGCGUGAGAGUAACUGUUCACGCAGUGACGGUAUCCAACCAGAAAGUCACGGCUAACUACGUGCCAGCAGCCGCGGUAAUACGUAGGUGGCAAGCGUUAUCCGGAUUUAUUGGGCGUAAAGCGAGCGCAGGCGGUUGCUUAGGUCUGAUGUGAAAGCCUUCGGCUUAACCGAAGAAAUGCAUCGGAAACCGGGCGACUUGAGUGCAGAAGAGGACAGUGGAACUCCAUGUGUAGCGGUGGAAUGCGUAGAUAUAUGGAAGAACACCAGUGGCGAAGGCGGCC